GGAAGUGACAUAGCAGGCAGACACAGAAUAUAAGGAAAUUGCUCUCUCACUCUUGCUUUUCCUCCUGCUCUCUGCUCUAGAGCUGCCAUGUGAUCCUGGGAAAGAGGAUACCAGCAGAAGGCAUCCUCAAUUAGUCUUAUAAAAUAUAUAGAUUUAUGAUAAUUAGACUGAGCUAGCAUAUAAGAAAUCCUAGUCAAUUGGCCAGCAGUAUGUUUUUUAAAGGAAAGUAGUGUUUCUUUCUUUUCUUUUUUAAGAUUUUAUUUAUUUUGGUUUUUCGAGAUAGCGUUUCUCUGUGGCUUUGGAGGCUGUCCUGGAACUAGACCAUAAAGGUCUAUUUCAAAUUAACAAAAUAUUUAUACCACUCAGUCUAUCCUAUAAGCCAUUUACAAAGGUACAGCUUUUAUUACAAAAAGGGAUUUUUCUCUAACUAAAGGCAAACUUUUAACUGCUGAGAUACUAAACAGACGACAGCCCUCAAAUGUUCAGAGAUCUAGAGAAUAUGGCAUUUAAAAUGUUUUGUUAAAAAGCUUUUUAUAACAGAGAGAUAGGCCAGCUGCCGGCCCUACCCCAUUUCCCCCCGAGAAGACAGAUGGGCACUGAAGAAGCUUCAUCUUGAGUCAGUGACAAGGCUAGUCACUGAGCAACCCUGCCCUUCACCUCAACUGCUACAACGUAUUCCAGACCAUGGACAAGAUGACAGUGGAAUCGACUUUCCCCGCAUUGCUUGGGACAACGGUAGGCGAGUCUUCCUAUAGUCUGUAAUCCACAGGUCACAUGCUAUCAGCAAGAAGGCAGGUGUCCUGCAGCCCCUACUAUGGAUGGAGGACCUUGGGGAUGGCUGUCCAUGCAGCCUGCUGGAAAGUCUCUGUUAUUCUUUAAUCAUUGAUUCAGGUAAAAUCUUAUCCUUCUCAAGAACUCUGAUGCUUUUGACGACUGGUAGUCUUGCCAGCUUAAAGCAAAACAGAUUCCAGGAACAGGUAUUUUAGGGUUUAUCUAUGUGAAGAUAGAAAAGUGUAAAAGAAUGAAAUAUGUUCCUGAUUUCUCUAUUUCUCAUGCUACUGUUCAUAGUCAGUUCUACAAUACCACUGUACGAUCAUAACUACAAGGUCAAGAUUAAGAUGCUUUUCAUUGUCCUAAAAAAACUGUCUAUUUUAAAAUGAUAAUACUUUCAGCCAAGUUGCUUCUAACAUGAACAAGCUGCUAAUGUGUCUAAUACUUAUGUUUCCACAAACUCUACGGAUUCUUGUAAGUUCCAGGGAGCUGGACUGCAUCCAAACAAACAGGUCUAAGAGACAUCAGGGAGUUCCAUACAGCCUGGACUGCAAUGAAACAACCAGCUACUCCAGGACGUGGCAGCACCCCAACCUUCUUGGGUCCCCCAAAGAUGGUCAACGCCUCCCAUGUCAGCAGGAAGCAGUCUUGAGAAUUCAACGCCCUUAUUCCUUAACCUGCCAUGUCUAAACACCCCACCUUUUUUUUAAUAAUAAGUAGAGGUGGGAAUGAAAGGUUCAGGCAUUAUGCUGGCCUGCCCCUGUUACCUGGUGGAACAGGCAGUACUCUGGUCAGCCCAAGGUUCCAUGGGAACUAAGUCUGCACGCAGGUGCAGAGGACCCCUUUAAAAGAUAGGUCCCUGCCCAUUUACACUCUCUCUGUUUCCUCUCUGUUUCCCUGCUCUGCUUUGUCUCUGCUUUCUCUCUACUCUGUCUCCCACCUAUGUGCUUGCUCUGUCUCUCUAUGGCAACCGGCCAUGGCGGUCAGCCACUACCCUGUUCCUCUUCUCUUAGUCUCCCUACUCUGCCGGGCCUCAUAAUAAACUUAUAGUCAAUAUGUCUCAUGUCUCAGCAUUUCUCUUUUCUUCUUUUUAAACAAAAGAGUAACAACCUCUAGAACUCAUGAGGGCUGCAGGCCAUCUCGGGAGAGUGGAGUCCAAGGUUGAGAGCAUAUGGAAGCUGCUCCAUGCCACCCAGGGGCUGGAAAGUGCAGGCUGUGGCAUCAGGUUCCCUGCUUCCUCUGGGAACCUCGGGGCGUGGGGUGCUGCUACCAUUUUGUUACAAUAAAUCUUUCUGUCGAAGCUGCCAGAGCCCUGCCGCCACUUGGGUGCUUUUUGCCAGCCACCCAAGUUCUGCCUGCUGCCUUAGGGCCCCAAAUAAUACACAGAGACUUAUAUUAGGUACAAUACUGCUGGCCAAGGAUUAGGAUUUCUUAUUUGCUAGCUCAGUCUUAAUUAUCAACCAUAUUCAUAGGACUUAUCUUAUGGAGGAUGCCAGCGAAAUAAUCCUGAUUUCUGGGAUCACAUGAAGGCUCCAGAGCAGAGAGCAGGAGGAAGAGGAAGAGCAAAAGGACGAUUUCCUGUUUGUCCCUGCUUAUAUCCUGAGUCUGCCCGCCAUGUCACCUCCUGUCUGGAUCUCUUUACUACAUUUCCCAGAAUCCUCCUUGACUCCUAGUUGUAGGGAGACACCCUAGCCCCGCCCAAUAGUCCUGGGACAGGUACCAGGUGGACCCGGGACUCGCCCAUAAGGGCGUGGUGAAGGAAAGCUGGGGUGACGUAAGGGAGCUUCUUAAGGGGCUGCACGUGGGGACCCGGGCCCCUUUUGUUCUGGCCGCGCUGGCUGGGUUCUAUAACCUAGCUCUGGCCUGUGUCUUGCCCUGGUGUCUUCUGGAAUAAAGAGACUUUAAUCAUAAUACCUAAGUCCCACCUGUCCUGCUUCCCUAUUGGCCAACUUUAUUUAUCAACCAAUAAGACAAACAUACACACAGAAGGACCUCCCUUGUCAGUGAAGUAUGCUAAGUAUUUCAGAAUCAUUAGUGGCUGUGCACAGCAGGUGUUUUAAAACUUGGACCAGCUCCUUGCAAGCCUCUCUUUUGUUUUAUUUACUCAUUUAUCUUUGAGACAGAGUUUCUAUGUGUAGUCCUGGUUGUCUUGGAAUUUUCUGUGUAGAUGAGUCUGGCCUGGGGCUGGAGAGAUGGCUCAGCUGUUAAAGGCUAGGCUCACAACCAAAAAUAUAAGAUGAGUCUGGCUUCUGAAGGAACCGGCUUCCCUUUUGGCAGCCAUAACAGCCGAACACGUGCUUGCCAUAUACCUGCCUUAGUCACUUAGAGGUCAGAUGCCUGUCUUGUGACAAGGAACCAAUCAGAAGUUAGCUGGUGGCGCUAUGCUUUACAACCCUGGGUGUGCUUUACGGACAAGUGCACGACAAUGACGUAGAGACCCAAGGAGCGGUCUUUUCUAGCCAACCGCCAUGGCGGGUGGGUGAAAGACCCGA
rnacentral:lncRNA from 1 species